UGAUGUCAGCAGCCAAGGUGAGAAAAGAGACACACAUGAACAAGUUCAUACUUGGAGUCCAGUGUCUUAACAGUGUUCAGGUCCAACUCUCUGUGACCGCCAGAGAAGAUCAAUAAAGUCUGCAUGUAUAAUUACAUGAAGACGCUGCAAGGCACCACAUAACAACUUUGACAGAGACAUUCCUUCACAGCUAUCCAAUAAAUGAAGAGCCUGGAGCCGUUACAUACUUAGUCCCUG